ACAGAGCAGAUCGGGGGACCACGGGAUGGGAAGGGUGGACAUGGCUCUGACAGCAACAAUGUAACACCCAUGCAACGAGUCUGCGAGGCCGAAUGGAAGCCAGCUGGCUGCAGGGGAGAGAGCAAGAGAGUCUGGCAGAAGGUGCACCUGGAGAAGGAAGUAGAGGCCAGGCCAGGAAACUACAGAGGCCCUUUGGUGCUCCCCAGCUCUCCUUGUUUUCCUGUUUCUAAGCAUCUGAGUGCAUCCUGAUAGCUGUGGACAGCAGAGAUUUGGAACAGGAGAUUGAAGAAGUCUCAUCUACUGCCAUGCUUGGCACAUAGUAGGCACUCAACACAUGCUAGACUCUCCCCACCUCCUGUUGCUUCUUGGCACCAGGCUUCACUCUGGACAAGAGUUAACAUCUCAUCCUUUACCCAUGUCUUCUUUGACUGAACAUCUCGCUAUUAGUGGGAGAUGGGUCAAAGAAGUAUUCACUCAUCCUUUCAUCCAACAAUACUGACAGAGCACCUGCCCUGUGCCAGGCUCAGCCAGAGGCUGGAGAUAAAGACAUGAAUGAGACCCCUGGUGACGGCAUAUGCUUACAAAAUUUGAAGACCACAACCACUCUCCAAAUACAAAUGCAGCAAGUGAUUUGAAGAUCAUAGAAAUGAUAAUACAGGCAAAAAAUGCAAGAAAUCUCCCCUGCCAAAUUAUUCAACUAUGUAUGACUUCUGCCUUUUCACAGCGCCAAUUUGCCAUGCUAUGCGUUUCAUCUUUGCAUCAUUUUCAAUACUGGAUGUAUAAAUUGUGUAAAGACUUUCAGAGUUCUAAUUCAUUUUAUGCAUUUUUUGCAAAUUUGAUUCCAUGAAAGUGCAUUAUCACAUCAUCGACUGUGUGUAAUCAUUGUGUGUGCAUAUAAAAAUGAAGAGAUAAAUGAAGAGAUGUUCGUUUUAUACAUCUGCAUUUGUAAAAUAUAAAAUUUCUUAAGAUCUUGGCUGUUUGGGAGACUGCGUAUGUAGUGGUGACCUAUCAUGGUUUUUGAUCAAUCUUGUCAAAAGACUUAGCUUGUCUGUCAUGGCAUUUCAGAUGAGUGAAUUUCAGAUGUUAUAAAGCUGGGUGCACACAAUUGCCAACCACAGUGAUAUAUAUUUAUACAUUUUGCUUUUUGACAUACUUCUUUAUGAGUAUGGUUUGUCUGCUCAUAAUUUUUAUACUCUUGCAACUGUUGUUAGUAUACCUGAGUGCUUAUGUUUGCAAAUGUAUGUAUGUUAUUAAUGCCUAUUUUGUUGUAUACAAUGGCCUAUGAAGUGUUCUGUUGUGUUUUUAUGUUUAUCAAAUAAAUUCCCCUUUAAAAAUGUGAACA
rnacentral:lncRNA from 1 species